GUUCGGUGGAAACGAGAAUAGAACGUGAAGGAUAACGUUGCGUCAGCAACGGCCCGUAGGGCGAGGCGAAGCCGAGUCAUCCUGCACGACCCACCA
rnacentral:sRNA from 1 species